AGGACGAACGCUGGCGGCGUGCUUAACACAUGCAAGUCGAACGAGGCGCUUGCGCCUAGUGGCGAACGGGUGAGUAACACGUGAGCAACCUGCCCUUGGCUCUGGGAUAGCCUCCGGAAACCGGAAUUAAUACCGGAUACGACCACGGCCGACAUCUGCUGUGGUGGAAAGGAUUCCGGCUAAGGAUGGGCUCGCGGCCUAUCAGCUAGUUGGUGGAGUAACGGCCCACCAAGGCGACGACGGGUA
rnacentral:rRNA from 1 species